rnacentral:rRNA from 1 species
CCGCGGUACCCUGACCGUGCUAAGGUAGCAUAAUCCCUUGCCUCUUAAUUAGUGGCUAGUAUGAAUGGAUAAACGAGAAUCAAACUGUCUCUAUAAGACCAAUAAAAAUUAUCCUUCAAGUGAAAAGACUUGAAUCCUAAUAAAAGACAAGAAGACCCUGUAGAGCCUUAGUAUCUAUUAAAUCUCAAAAUAUAAAUAAAAAACUUCUUUUUAAUUUUACUCCAGUUGGGGCGACUAAGGAAUAUCAAAAACUUCCUCCUCUUAAAAGGCAAAUCAGCCAUCCAAAGAUCCACACUUAGUGAUUUAAAGCCCAGGCUACCUCAGGGAUAACAGGCUAAUCUUCCUCGAGAGUCCCUAUUGACAGGAAGGAUUGGCACCUCGAUGUUGGCUUAGGAAAACUUUUAGGUGCAGCCACCUAAAAAGCAGGUUUGUUCAACCUUUAAUAUCCUACGUGAUCU